GAUGAACGCUGGCGGCGUGCUUAACACAUGCAAGUCGAACGAAGCACUUAUCUUUGAUUCUUCGGAUGAAGAGGUUUGUGACUGAGUGGCGGACGGGUGAGUAACGCGUGGGUAACCUGCCUCAUACAGGGGGAUAACAGUUAGAAAUGACUGCUAAUACCGCAUAAGACCACAGAGCCGCAUGGCUCAGUGGGAAAAACUCCGGAGGUAUGAGAUGGACCCGCGUCUGAUUAGGUAGUUGGUGGGGUAACGGCCUACCAAGCCAACGAUCAGUAGCCGACCUGAGAGGGCGACCGGCCACAUUGGGACUGAGACACGGCCCAAACUCCUACGGGAGGCAGCAGUGGGGAAUAUUGCACAAUGGGGGAAACCCUGAUGCAGCGACGCCGCGUGAGCGAAGAAGUAUUUCGGUAUGUAAAGCUCUAUCAGCAGGGAAGAAAAUGACGGUACCUGACUAAGAAGCACCGGCUAAAUACGUGCCAGCCGCCGCCGUAAAAC
rnacentral:rRNA from 1 species